rnacentral:miRNA from 1 species
UGCAAACAAUGUGAUUUCGUCAAG